rnacentral:rRNA from 1 species
UGCUUAAUUGCGUUUCAAAAUUUAACUUGAGGACCGGGUUUUGGUUUGGCUAGUGGUUCUACGAUGACUGUGAACUGUCAUGUCUUCGGAUGUGCGACUAUUGGUCUAGGAUCACAUGACUUGCCCCUGGGACUCUUUUGAACGCAACGGACGUGAUUGCAACCCCUUGUUGAGAUUAGAGAUAGUCUCGAUAUUCACUGGACAAACUGGCUGCUUUAUGCAGUCUUGUUGAAUGGUGGAUAAACUCGGGGGACUGCUGACUAUAACCAUUUCUCAAAACAGAGGAAGGUUGCGGCAAUAACAGGUCUGUGAUGCCCUCAGAUGUCCCGGGCUGCACACGUGCUACAAUGAGUGGCGCAAUGUGCUAAUGUUUAAGGGAUAAGAGUGUGGUCAGUAGAACGUCGGGAUUUCCCCUGACGUCUCCCCCGCACGAUUAUCAGCCUUCCCUUAACAGGGCGGGCAACCUUUUCAAAAUACUGGUUUGAUGUUAAAGUAUUGAGUCGUUUUUUUUGGAUGGUGGUUUGUUAACCAAUACCAUCCGGCAACUGCUCGCGA